CAAAGGCUAGGCUCGCGCUGCGUGUGGCAGCAGCAGCAGCAGCAGGAAAGCCCCACACGUGCUUUCGCUUUGACCUGCGCGGGAGGGAGCACGACGGACAGUCUGAGCCUGAGGCGUCGCCUCGCCUCACGCCACGUGGUUCCGUCUCGCCGCGUCUCCUCUCCUCGGAGGGUUUAAACUGCCUGCGUAAGGCGAGGAGGAGGCGAGGGGGGUGGGCUUCGAAGGUUUUAUGGUUGGGUUGGGUGCCUGUCGCUCGCUCGGUCGCGAGGUUAGGUUUCCUUUCGUUCCCUUGGGGGUUGGCCGGGGCUUUGAACGGUAUGAGCGGCGGCCCGGGCCGCUAGGAAUAAUAACGGGGCCGCCGAGGCGGGCCCUGUAGCCGGGUCCAAAGGAAAGUUAGCCUCCUCCUUCGGCGCACAAGGCCCUCCCCCGCCAACGGACGGCCGGCCGGCCGUCAGCCAGGUGCCGCGCCGCAGGCCGCCGGCCGCGGUCCACCUGCCUGCUGUCCAUCACACGGACUCUUUCAACACACACCACGCACGUUUUUCUACUCUACCCGCAUCCUCGUUCUGUCUCUGGUCACCUUUGUUUCCGCAUUUCGUGGUGUGUUUCGGUAGAGACAGACAGUCAGUGGCGCGGUUCCACACACACGAACACAACACACCUUAGGAUGUUCUCACCUCACCGAACAAGGACUUCGGCGUCCCGGUUCCCACGUCGUCUCUACGGCUUCUUCCCCGAGUUCUUCGACGUGCGGUUCCUACGCGAGCUGAAGAAGUUGGUCCAGUACCACCUCGUCGGGGACGAGGGGAAGGAGUAGGGCGAGCCGGAGAAGCGCACCAAGCAGCUCGCGACCCAGCACGGGAAGAGGUUGACCCACGGGGAGCGCCGGCGGCAGACCCGCUGGUAAGUCAUACCCUCCAAGUUUGCUUUCUACCGACAUCUUCUAAACUUGUUUUCUACCUUCGUGGAAUAUGACUUGUGUUGUGGAUGGUGUGGCUAUCUCGGAACGCUCACCAACUUGUUUGAAAACUAACUUCAAACCGGUUUGAUGUACCUUGGCUUUGAUAGUUUCUUCAAAGUUAGAUGGCAGCUCUCUGCGAAUUUCUUAGCUUUUGGUUUUGACUAACUAUUUUAUCUUAAUGUCCUUAAGAGUGAGCCAAGAACGGGUGGAUGGAACCCUCUCGUCCCAUACGCGACCUACUGAAGUCCACUUGUCGUUCAGUACAGGAACCCAAAACUAACCGUGUCGUUUCUCUACUCACACUACAAAUACCGCUUUAAUCGUUUUGGAGACUACCCGUGACGAGCGUAACAAUAUUUGUCGUAGGUGUAGUUCCCUCUAGAAGAUGACUCAGGGUAAGAACUACCGCAUCGACAGGAGAUAAGAAAACUUAGAUGAGGUCUUCAGUCCUAUCCACAUCGUAAACCUUCACCACCUUCGGUUUGUCAAGGACCAUACCUCAAUGGCCCACAGAGUUGUACCGACCAUUUCGAAAACUGACUUUGUUAUCGGUUCUGUUACCAACUCGGAGCGGCAGAGACGAAAAGAAACGGUGGUCAUCUAGACUUCUUUGUUCGUCAACCACCACAAGAAAGACAAUGACAACAAAGUCGAUCAUUAGAACCGUCUUUCUCGUCUUGAUUACUCAAUCCCUUGUUGGUUUCGAGUUCACCUUUGUGAUGUGGACCCUAAGGAGAAUUGUCCUCCCGUGUAUGUAAAUAACUCCAUCUUCAGCCGUGAAACUGCUCUUUUUGUUGAUGAACACUCCCAGGUUUAGGAUGUACCUUAUCGUGUAAAUUGUACCAUGACGUACCUCUCUGUCCACAACAGUUCAAAGAAGACAUACUUGACCUAAGGCUACCACAGUUCAUAUUAAUGGACUGUUCGACGCUCUAUUUCCAGUUCAUACAAAAUCUACCAAGCUGUUAUAAGACCCGAUAUCCUGUAUUACUACCACACCAACGUUCCGUACGACUCGUAACACCCUUUCUUCAACCUUACCACCAAGGUAAACUCCUCCUAUAGUGUCCGCUCAAUUGACAGUCAGAACACGAUUUUCUUACCGUUAAGAGACUACCCAGCCAAUGUAACUCAUUGAGAGACUCGUUACUUAAGGUUACAAGGUAACUACCUAGUGGCUUCGAAGUCAGUUCCUGUCCUUCCUUCGAGUCUCAGUUUCAUCACCUCCCAUCCCGGGAACGUCAUUUGUCAUUUAGACCCUUUACGCUAGGAAUACACUUUGAGGUCAUACCUUUCCGAGAUAUGUCUUGUUUCUGCGAGAGGGCAUGCCGGGUUGGUCAAACCUUACUGUUCAAACUUAAACUACUCUAACCACCACCACUUAUAGACUUCCAGUUUACAAUAUUAAAUCUAUGUAAGUCACUACUAUCGUAACCGUCGCGUUCUCAUUUAGACCUCCCUGAAGAUCUACCACGAUCGGCUCUACACACCCAUGGUGAACUUUUUCAUCUAAGUCCUCUCUAGUCCGAGCUUUAUCUCCGUUAUGGUUUACUAGUGUUGCUGUCAGACUUCUCUAGUUCGUCAUUUCAACUUCGACCGACCUAGCUCGAUCAUUAUUAACUUCGGUCCCUAGAACAACGACGACUAGAAUCUCCUUGAUCACUAGGAAUACAGUCCCACGUUAUACCCUUGUUCUUCUUCGCUUGGUUCCAGUAAAUGUUCUGCGACCGAGGUUUGACCUUGGUCUGUAAACUCAAACGCCUUUGGCCUCUCGGGUACUAGGACGUACAGUUCCUGGUAUUGCGCCAGGAAGGUUGGCGGUCGUAUCCGUUGACGUGGCAACUUAUGUCGUACGAAAGAGGCUUAGUUGGGCGGCUGUUUACCUAUGGCGACGUUCCUCACGCCUCGCCUCUUUAGGUACACUUCUAGUGGGCCUCCCAGCGUUUGAGCCUUUUCUUUUGGUCGGACGACUGUCUACGCAGGCGGGAGCCGUUUCCUGUGUUCUAUAGUCGUGUCUACUCUCUGUCGGACUUCUUUACGAGCCCGAACCACCUGCUGCCGCCGCUACGCCUCCGUGACAGCAACCGGGACUGCCUCCACCUCUCGCAGGUCCUGCUCGUCCUAAACAUGUAUGUCGUCGACCUCGCCCUCUUCCGGAACUACGACGUUUUCUAUGCACUGGAACCAAGACUUCAGGAGUCCUGUAGGAGGCCAGGACGUUCCUGGAGGACGAUCAUUAAUCUAGUUGUUUAUGUGAGGUGUCUGUUCUACCGCUUUCACGAUUAGUAAAAAGCGUCUUGAUAUAUUAAUAUAUUAAAUAGUCGCCAACGAACAUUCAUUCAUCUACCCAUCCUUUAGUGCCGCUUUAGUAGUGCGGGGCUGCGGGAAUCCGAAACAAGCCAAUUAGGAGAGGGGUUCUCCUAACCUCCCCUAACCGUCCCUAACCAAGUAUAAAACUGAAUCUUCUCCAAAUUUAGGGGGAGUUUGGGGAAGUUAGGUGAGCCUAAGUGGGCGUUGGCUUGUUCCGGAAUUUCAACAUGUUUUUAGGAACUUUUACCCAACAUUUAAAAGUCUUUCUCACAUGUACUGAACACCAUAGAGAUCACGACUUCGUAGUCAUAAACGUCGAAUGGUUUCCGAGCGGUAAAACGUGUGCCCAUAUAUUACGAUGGUACCAAAACCAUUACCUGAACUG
rnacentral:rRNA from 1 species